rnacentral:tRNA from 1 species
GACAAGAUAGCCCAGUGGUCAAAGGCAGUGCUUCUAGCACAGUGUCCCAGGUUUGAAUCCUGGUCUAGUCA